rnacentral:rRNA from 1 species
CCUACGGGUGGCAGCAGUGAGGAAUAUUGGUCAAUGGACGAGAGUCUGAACCAGCCAAGUAGCCUGAAGGAUGACUGCCCUAUGGGUUGUAAACUUCUUUUAUAUGGGAAUAAAACGUUCCACGUGUGGGCUUUUGUAUGUACCAUAUGAAUAAGGAUCGGCUAACUCCGUGCCAGCAGCCGCGGUAAUACGGAGGAUCCGAGCGUUAUCCGGAUUUAUUGGGUUUAAAGGGAGCGUAGGUGGAGUGUUAAGUCAGGUGUGAAAGUUUGCGGGUCAACCGUAAGAUUGCAGUUGAAACUGGCAGUCUUGAGUACAGGAGAGGUGGGCGGAAUUCGUGGUGUAGCGGUGAAAUGCUUAGAUAUCACGAAGAACUCCGAUUGCGAAGGCAGCUCACUGGACUGCAACUGACACUGAGGCUCGAAAGUGUGGGUAUCAAACAGGAUUAGAUACCCCUGUAGUC